AUUGAACGCUGGCGGCAGGCCUAACACAUGCAAGUCGGACGGUAGCACAGAGAGCUUGCUCUCGGGUGACGAGUGGCGGACGGGUGAGUAAUGUCUGGGGAUCUGCCCGAUAGAGGGGGAUAACCACUGGAAACGGUGGCUAAUACCGCAUAACGUCGCAAGACCAAAGAGGGGGACCUUCGGGCCUCUCACUAUCGGAUGAACGCAGAUGGGAUUAGCUAUGAGGCGGGGUAACGGCCCACCUAGGCGACGAUCCCUAGCUGGUCUGAGAGGAUGACCAGCCACGCUGGAACUGAGACACGGUCCAGACUCCUACGGGAGGCAGCAGUGGGGAAUAUUGCACAAUGGGCGCAAGCCUGAUGCAGCCAUGCCGCGUGUAUGAAGAAGGCCUUCGGGUUGUAAAGUACUUUCAGCGGGGAGGAAGGCGAUGUGGUUAAUAACCGCGUCGAUUGACGUUACCCGCAGAAGAAGCACCGGCUAACUCCGUGCCAGCCGCCGCCGUAA
rnacentral:rRNA from 1 species